CCUACGGGGGGCUGCAGUGGGGGAUAUUGCACAAUGGGGGGCACCCUGAUGCAGCGACGCCGCGUGGGUGAAGGAGCGUUUCGGCGCGUAAAGCCCUAUCGGCAGGGAAGAAGAUGACGGUACCUGACCAAGAAGCCCCGGCUAACUACGUGCCAGCAGCCGCGGUAAUACGUAGGGGGCAAGCGUGAUCCGGAUUUACUGGGUGGAAAGGGAGCGUAGACGGCCAUGCAAGCCAGGGGUGAAAGCCCGGGGCCCAACCCCGGGACUGCCCUUGGAACUGCAUGGCGGGAGUGCGGGAGGGGCAGGCGGAAUUCCUGGUGUAGCGGUGAAAUGCGUAGAUAUCAGGAGGAACACCGGCGGCGAAGGCGGCCUGCUGGACUGUAACUGACGUUGAGGCUCGAAAGCGUGGGGAGCAAACAGGAUUAGAUACCCUUGUAGUC
rnacentral:rRNA from 1 species